AACCUCCGCAAUGUGAGAAAUCGCGACGGGGGGAUCCCAAGUGCCAUUCUUAACGGGAUGGCUCUUCUUAAGUGUAAAAAGCUUUUGGAAUAAGAGCUGGGCAAGACCGGUGCCAGCCGCCGCGGUAACACCGGCAGCUCUAGUGGUAGCUGUUUUUAUUGGGCCUAAAGCGUUCGUAGCCGGUUUGAUAAGUCACUGGUGAAAUCCUGUAGCUUAACUGUGGGAAUUGCUGGUGAUACUGUUGAACUUGAGGUCGGGAGAGGUUAGCGGUACUCCCAGGGUAGAGGUGAAAUUCUGUAAUCCUGGGAGGACCACCUGUGGCGAAGGCGGCUAACUGGAACGAACCUGACGGUGAGGGACGAAAGCUAGGGGCGCGAACCGGAUUAGAUACCCGGGUAGUCCUAGCCGUAAACGAUGCGGACUUGGUGUUGGGAUGGCUUUUGAGCCGCUCCGGUGCCGAAGGGAAGCUGUUAAGUCCGCCGCCUGGGAAGUACGGUCGCAAGACUGAAACUUAAAGGAAUU
rnacentral:rRNA from 1 species